rnacentral:lncRNA from 1 species
AUGUAUAAUAUACAUUUUGGGAAAUGCAGAAAAAUAGAAGAAAAUUUACCAUCUGUAAAUAAACAUUUUUAACUUUUGACCUAUAUCCUUCCCAAUAUUUUUUACUCUCUUGGAUAUAGGUUUAUUUUGGGUUUUGACUUAACCUAAUUGGGAUCAUCUUGUGCAUAAUCUUUUGUAGACUUGAAUUUUCCUCCCACUUACUAUAAAAUGAGCAUCACUCCAUGUCACUACAUAUUCUUUUUUUUUUUUAAAUAAGGUCUCACUGUGUUGCCCAGGCUGGAGUGCAGUGGCACAAUCUUGGCUCACUGCAGCCUCGACCUCCUGGGCUCAAGCAAUUGUCCCCCCUCAGCCUCCUGAGUAGUUGGGACUGCAGGUACAAGCCACCACGCCUGGCUAAUUUUUGUAAUGUUUGUAGAGAUGGGGUUUCGCCAUGUUGCCCAGGCUGGAAUAUUCUACAUUAUGCUUCUUAAUGGGCAUAUAGCAUUUGUCCUGUGACUAUAUAUAUUUUCACUUCAGCCAUACACUAAAUUGGGCAUUAGGUUUGGGUUUUUAAAUAUUUGAUACUUAAAAAUUAAUAAAAAUUGGUGAAUAUUAAAUAUUUAAUGUAUAUAAGUAUAUAGAAUAAUACAAUUGUAUACACAGAAUAGUGGCCCCCAAAGACAUCAGUGGCCUAAUCCUCAGAACCUUUAGUUACAUGGCAAGUGGAAUAAAGGUUGCUGAUUAGCUGAUUUAAUCUAGAAGGAGUAUCCUGGAUUAUCUGUGUAGGCCCAGUGGAAUCACAAGGGUUCUUGAAAGUGGAAGAGGAAGACAGAAGAGCGAGAAGGAGAUGUGGUAAUGGAAGGUCUGAGAGGUGCUAUGUUGAUGGCUUGUAGAUGGAAGAGGGCCAUGAGCCAAGGAAUGUGGGCAGCGUCUAGAAGCUGGAAAAGGCAAGGAAAUGGACUCCCUCCUGGAUCUCCCAAAGAGGGACACAGCCCUGCCAACAUCUCAACUUUAGCCCAAUAAGACCUGGCUCAGACUUCUGUCCAGAACUGAUAAAUUCCUGGAGGAGGAAUUGCUGAGUCAAAAGUUAUGCACAU